rnacentral:rRNA from 1 species
UACGAAGGGGGGCUAGCGUUGCUCGGAAUCACUGGGCGUAAAGCGCACGUAGGCGGAUCUUUAAGUCAGGGGUGAAAUCCUGGAGCUCAACUCCAGAACUGCCUUUGAUACUGGGGAUCUCGAGUCCGGGAGAGGUGAGUGGAACUGCGAGUGUAGAGGUGAAAUUCGUAGAUAUUCGCAAGAACACCAGUGGCGAAGGCGGCUCACUGGCCCGAUACUGACGCUGAGGCACGAAAGCGUGGGGAGCAAACAGG